rnacentral:rRNA from 1 species
GGGAGUAACUACUGGAAACGGUAGCUAAUACCGCAUAACGUCUCCGGACCAAAGUGGGGGACCUUCGGGCCUCACACCAUCGGAUGUGCCCAGAUGGGAUUAGCUUGUAGGUGGGGUAAUGGCUCACCUAGGCGACGAUCCCUAGCUGGUCUGAGAGGAUGACCAGCCACACUGGAACUGAGACACGGUCCAG